rnacentral:rRNA from 1 species
UACCAGCACCCCGAGUGGUCGGGACGAUUAUUGGGCCUAAAGCCUCCGUAGCCGGUUCUACAAGUCUUCCGUUAAAUCCACCUGCUUAACAGAUGGGCUGCGGAGGAUACUAUAGAGCUAGGAGGCGGGAGAGGCAAGCGGUACUUAGUGGGUAGGGGUAAAAUCCGUUGAUCCAUUGAAGACCACCAGUGGCGAAGGCGGCUUGCCAGAACGCGCUCGACGGUGAGGGAUGAAAGCUGGGGGAGCAAACCGG